GCUCCAGUGGGCAUCUCUCAGGCGGACCAUCAUAGCGACAGCUGGAGUGCUCAUCCACCUGACACACAAGAGCAAACCUUUUCUGUCCUGAGACCCUCAGGGGCACACCAAGGAAGAACACUGACUCCAGUGGGCGUCUUUCAGGUAGACCAUCAUGGAGACGGCUGGAGUGCUCAUCCACCUAACACACAAGGUA